GACGAACGCUGGCGGCGUGCCUAAUACAUGCAAGUCGAGCGGAUUGAUGGGAGCUUGCUCCCUGAUAUCAGCGGCGGACGGGUGAGUAACACGUGGGCAACCUGCCUAUAAGACUGGGAUAACUUCGGGAAACCGGAGCUAAUACCGGAUAAUCCCUUUCCUCCCAUGAGGAAAGGCUGAAAGAUGGUUUACGCUAUCACUUAUAGAUGGGCCCGCGGCGCAUUAGCUAGUUGGUGAGGUAACGGCUCACCAAGGCAACGAUGCGUAGCCGACCUGAGAGGGUGAUCGGCCACACUGGGACUGAGACACGGCCCAGACUCCUACGGGAGGCAGCAGUAGGGAAUCUUCCGCAAUGGACGAAAGUCUGACGGAGCAACGCCGCGUGAGUGAUGAAGGUUUUCGGAUCGUAAAACUCUGUUGUUAGGGAAGAACAAGUACGAGAGUAACUGCUCGUACCUUGACGGUACCUAACCAGAAAGCCACGGCUAACUACGUGCCAGCCGCCGCCGUAA
rnacentral:rRNA from 1 species